AUUGAACGCUGGCGGUAGGCCUAACACAUGCAAGUCGAACGGUAACAGGAAGAAGCUUGCUUCUUUGCUGACGAGUGGCGGACGGGUGAGUAAUGUCUGGGAAACUGCCUGAUGGAGGGGGAUAACUACUGGAAACGGUAGCUAAUACCGCAUAACGUCGCAAGACCAAAGAGGGGGACCUUCGGGCCUCUUGCCAUCGGAUGUGCCCAGAUGGGAUUAGCUAGUAGGUGGGGUAACGGCUCACCUAGGCGACGAUCCCUAGCUGGUCUGAGAGGAUGACCAGCCACACUGGAACUGAGACACGGUCCAGACUCCUACGGGAGGCAGCAGUGGGGAAUAUUGCACAAUGGGCGCAAGCCUGAUGCAGCCAUGCCGCGUGUAUGAAGAAGGCCUUCGGGUUGUAAAGUACUUUCAGCGGGGAGGAAGGGAGUAAAGUUAAUACCUUUGCUCAUUGACGUUACCCGCAGAAGAAGCACCGGCUAACUCCGUG
rnacentral:rRNA from 1 species